UACGUAGGCAGCGAGCGUUGUUCGGAGUUACUGGGCGUAAAGGGUGUGUAGGCGGUUUUCUAAGUUUGGUGUGAAAUCUCCCGGCUCAACCGGGAGGGUGCGCCGAAAACUGGGAGACUAGAGUGCGGGAUGGGAGAGUAGAAUUCCUGGUGUAGCGGUGAAAUGCGUAGAUAUCAGGAGGAAUACCGGUGGGGUAGACGGCUCUCUGGGCCGCCACUGACGCUGAGACACGAAAGCGUGGGUAGCAAACAGG
rnacentral:rRNA from 1 species